rnacentral:rRNA from 1 species
UACGUAGGGUGCGAGCGUUGUCCGGAAUUAUUGGGCGUAAAGAGCUCGUAGGUGGUUUGUCGCGUUGUUCGUGAAAACUCACAACUCAAUUGUGGGCGUGCGGGCGAUACGGGCAGACUGGAGUACUGCAGGGGAGACUGGAAUUCCCGGUGUAGUGGUGGAAUGCGUAGAUAUCGGGAGGAACACCAGUGGCGAAGGCGGUUGCCUGGAGCUUUGCUGACGCUGAGGCGCGAAAGCGUGGGGAGCGAUCCGG